UACGUAGGGUGCAAGCGUUGUCCGGAAUUAUUGGGCGUAAAGAGCUCGUAGGCGGUUUUGUCGCGUCUGCUGUGAAAACUCGGGGCUUAACCCCGGGCCUGCAGUGGGUACGGGCAGACGUAGAGUGCGGUAGGGGAGACUGGAAUUCCUGGUGUAGCGGUGAAAUGCGCAGAUAUCAGGAGGAACACCGGUGGCGAAGGCGGGUCUCUGGGCCGUAACUGACGCUGGAGGAGCGAAAGCGUGGGGAGCGAACAGG
rnacentral:rRNA from 1 species